GGAAAGAUAAGCUAAGUCUAAGCUCAUAGGUUCAUACCCUAUUUAUGGAGUACAUACUCCUCUUUCUA
rnacentral:tRNA from 2 species